AAUGGGUCAGCGACUUAUAUUCUGUAGCAAGGUUAACCGAAUAGGGGAGCCGAAGGGAAACCGAGUCUUAACUGGGCGUUAAGUUGCAGGGUAUAGACCCGAAACCCGGUGAUCUAGCCAUGGGCAGGUUGAAGGUUGGGUAACACUAACUGGAGGACCGAACCGACUAAUGUUGAAAAAUUAGCGGAUGACUUGUGGCUGGGGGUGAAAGGCCAAUCAAACCGGGAGAUAGCUGGUUCUCCCCGAAAGCUAUUUAGGUAGCGCCUCGUGAAUUCAUCUCCGGGGGUAGAGCACUGUUUCGGCAAGGGGGUCAUCCCGACUUACCAACCCGAUGCAAACUGCGAAUACCGGAGAAUGUUAUCACGGGAGACACACGGCGGGUGCUAACGUCCGUCGUGAAGAGGGAAACAACCCAGACCGCCAGCUAAGGUCCCAAAGUCAUGGUUAAGUGGGAAACGAUGUGGGAAGGCCCAGACAGCCAGGAUGUUGGCUUAGAAGCAGCCAUCAUUUAAAGAAAGCGUAAUAGCUCACUGGUCGAGUCGGCCUGCGCGGAAGAUGUAACGGGGCUAA
rnacentral:rRNA from 1 species